AUUGAACGCUGGCGGCAGGCCUAACACAUGCAAGUCGAGCGGAUGAAGGGAGCUUGCUCCUGGAUUCAGCGGCGGACGGGUGAGUAAUGCCUAGGAAUCUGCCUGGUAGUGGGGGAUAACGUCCGGAAACGGGCGCUAAUACCGCAUACGUCCUGAGGGAGAAAGUGGGGGAUCUUCGGACCUCACGCUAUCAGAUGAGCCUAGGUCGGAUUAGCUAGUUGGUGGGGUAAAGGCCUACCAAGGCGACGAUCCGUAACUGGUCUGAGAGGAUGAUCAGUCACACUGGAACUGAGACACGGUCCAGACUCCUACGGGAGGCAGCAGUGGGGAAUAUUGGAAAAUGGGCGAAAGCCUGAUCCAGCCAUGCCGCGUGUGUGAAGAAGGUCUUCGGAUUGUAAAGCACUUUAAGUUGGGAGGAAGGGCAGUAAGUUAAUACCUUGCUGUUUUGACGUGACCAACAGAAUAAGCACCGGCGAACUUCGU
rnacentral:rRNA from 1 species